UACGUAGGGUGCGAGCGUUGUCCGGAAUUAUUGGGCGUAAAGAGCUCGUAGGCGGUUUGUCGCGUCGGCCGUGAAAACUUGGGGCUUAACCCCAAGCUUGCGGUCGAUACGGGCAGACUUGAGUUCGGCAGGGGAGACUGGAAUUCCUGGUGUAGCGGUGAAAUGCGCAGAUAUCAAGAGGAACACCGGUGGCGAAGGCGGGUCUCUGGGCCGAUACUGACGCUGAGGAGCGAAAGCGUGGGGAGCGAACAGG
rnacentral:rRNA from 1 species